GACGAACGCUGGCGGCGUGCCUAAUACAUGCAAGUAGAACGCACAGUUUAUACCGUAGCUUGCUACACCAUAGACUGUGAGUUGCGAACGGGUGAGUAACGCGUAGGUAACCUGCCUGGUAGCGGGGGAUAACUAUUGGAAACGAUAGCUAAUACCGCAUAAUAUUAAUUAUUGCAUGAUAAUUAAUUGAAAGGUGCAAUUGCACCACUACCAGAUGGACCUGCGUUGUAUUAGCUAGUAGGUGAGGUAACGGCUCACCUAGGCGACGAUACAUAGCCGACCUGAGAGGGUGAUCGGCCACACUGGGACUGGGACCCGGCCCAGACUCCUACGGGAGGCAGCAGUAGGGAAUCUUCGGCAAUGGACGAAAGUCUGACCGAGCAACGCCGCGUGAGUGAAGAAGGUUUUCGGAUCGUAAAGCUCUGUUGUAAGAGAAGAACGGGUGUGAGAGUGGAAAGUUCACACUGUGACGGUAUCUUACCAGAAAGGGACGGCUAACUACGUG
rnacentral:rRNA from 1 species